UUUAUCAAAAACAUGUCUCUUUGAAUUUUUUUAAUAAAGAGUUGGGCCUGCUCAAUGAUUAAUAUUAAAUAGCUGCGGUAUUAUAACUGUACUAAGGUAGCAUAGUAAUUUGCCUUAUAAAUUAGGGCUAGAAUGAAUGGUUUGACGAAAAUUAGACUGUCUCUAUUUUAUUUAUUAGAAAUUAAUUUUUAUAGUGAGAAAGCUUGAAUAAAUUAAAGGGACGAGAAGACCCUAUUGAGCUUAGAAUUAUUAUUUAAUUAAUGUGAUAAUUUAUUUAUUAGUUUAUUGAUAUUUAUUUAUGUAAUUUUGAUUGGGGUGAUCAAGGAAUAAAAGUUUAUAAUAACUUCCUUAGGAUUUUGUAAUUUAUAGAUUAAUAAACCAUAAUUUUGCUUAGAAGAUAAGUUACCAUAGGGAUAACAGCGUAAUUUUUUUUGAGAGUUCAUAUUGAAAGAAAAGAUUGCGACCUCGAUGUUGGAUUAAAUAUAACCUUAAGGUGAAGAAGCUUUAAUAGGUGAAUCUGUUCGAUUUUUAAAAUUUUACGUGAUCUGAGUUCAGACCGG
rnacentral:rRNA from 1 species